rnacentral:lncRNA from 1 species
UGACAGGGCCUCACUCUGUCACUCAGGCUGGAGUGAAGUGGUGCAAUCACAGUUCACUGAAACCUUGAACUCCUGGGUACAAGGAAUCCUCCUGUCUGGAACUACAGGAAGAAGAUGAUUUUUCACCUAGUGGAGUCAUUGAACAGUGGUCUUCAAAUUGGGAUUAUUUCCAAGAAUAGAUUAAAAUGCCAUGAAAAAGAAAAAAUUAUAGAAAAGCAAAAAGAGCUGAAUGCAGUGAAUGAACAUCUGUGAAUGAAGUUGAGAAGGUAUAUGUGGGGCAGACUAGAAUUGCAGUGCACAGAUACAAGAAUGUUGCCUGCUUUGGAGCCAAGACUGCCUUCCGGAUAAAGGGCCCACAGAGAGCUGAGAGCUGUGUAAUACCUCAAAGACUGAAGAAAAGAGUUAGACAGCCAUCUUUCCUUAGAGGAUUUUGCUGCAGACAGCUUGAACUACCAGAAGGUUAUAUACUGACCAUGGGUAGAGUAAGGAAGAAAUACAUCCUUCGGAAAGGACAAUGAAGAUCUUUACAGCAGGGUCUUGCCUCAUCACUGCCAUGACAGGGGGGUCCAAUGUGAGGAUUCUGGUGUCUAUGCCAAGCAUCUCUUUUCCAACGUAGAUCUGAUUUCUUAACAUAGCCAACAGCAAGUCAACAUCAGCUUUGCAGAGAAAAGCAGGGAUGCGUGUGCACAAAGAAAAGGCCAUGUGAGGACAUAGCAAGAGGGAAGCUGUCCGCAAGCCAAGGAAAAAGGCCUCAGGAGAAACCAAAUCUGCCAAUACAUUGAUCUUGGACUUCCAGCAUUCAGAAAUGUGAGAAAAUAAAUAUCUGCUGUUUAAGCCACCAGUAUAUUAUAUUUGUUAUGGUAGCCUUAGCAAAGUAAGAUAGUUUGUGUUACUGCCUUCUUUUUGCAGAUAAAGCAAUUAUAUCUGAUAGGUAUUAUGUAACCAUAUUAGUCCCAUAGACAGUUGUUUUUGGAUAAACAUAGAAAUUGACCCUUCUGUUGUUAAAGCUUCAAACUUGUAUUUGCUUUAUCUGAGUUCCUUCCUCAGGAAAGGAUAUUCAGUUCUCUCAAAAAAGUAUCGAAGAACUGAAAUUCACUAGAUCACCAUACCAGAUAACUCCUUGCCCCUCCCUAGUUCCUGAUUUCUUAAACAUUGUUACAUUUCUUCCCUGCUGUAUAAAACCCUAGUUUUAAUCAGUCAGAGAGAUGAAUUUGAGACUGAACUCCCAUCUCCUUGCUGCGGCACCCGAUUAAAGCCUUCUCCCUUGGCAAUAUUUGUCUUCUCAGUGAUUGGCUUUCUGUGCAGCAAGCAGCAGGACCUAGACCAAACCCCUGGUAUUGUGGUAACAAACAACACACAUGCACACACAUAUACAUGCAAAUGACUGAUAAAAGAGAUAAAAGAAAGGAAAAGGAAAGCAGAAGGAGGAAGAUCAUCCAUGAAUCCAUUGAGAAUAGACACUGAUGAUCUAUUUGGUUUCUUUCUUUACCUAAUUCUUUAUCAUUAUAGCUUUUGUAUAUAAUGCUAGCUUUCUACCACAUCAUGUUAGGUUAUUUACCCAUUAUGUGAUCUUUCUUUUAAAUGUUUCUAUUUCUUUUCAUUAAAUGAAAUAAUUGUUAAAGGGGUGACUUCAAUUAACUUCUAGGCCUUCUAUAUAGUGUUGCAAAGGCCCAUAUUCUACAUCUAGGUUAAAUUUUCCUGUCUUUUGUUAUUUAAUUAUCUAGCAUAUGAGCAACAAAUAGGGAUCUGAAAGUGACUAUCUGUGUUGGGUUAUCCUUGGAAAAAUAACAUGACAAACAAAGGUAGAUUAGCCCACUGGUAACAAAAUUCAAAUGAGACAACUAUCCUGUUCCCCAAAUCAAAUAUUUCUCAAAAGCAAUCAAUGAUUAAUUAAAAGUAGUG